UUUAAAAUCACACAUAGAUCUUUAAUUGGAGAUCAGAGAAAAUCACAAUACCAAAGGCAGAAAUAUAACUCAGUGUGUGGAUGUGGAAAAGCCAUUGAUUUGUUUUUGUGACCAUACCUAAAGCCAACCAAUUCAGAGCCCCAGCCUCUUCAUCCUCAAUCUGAAGGGACUGUGCUAAAGGAAAUGGAAGAUUCUUUCUGUGGUCUUUCAUUGUUUCCUUCCCCAGGGUCAAUCUACCUAGGGCCUUCCUCAUUUCUCUUUGCUCUGCCAAGUUUGCUCAGGUACCCAGUUGGGAUGAAUUCUCCAUGUCCUCACUGAAGGUAGGAAGUCAAGUUGAACUAAAAGCAGAAUGGGCAGAGUAGGGGGCAUCCCUGUUUGGAAAGGUGGCUCAGCUGAGUCACAAACACGCAUGCCGUCCACAGGGACUGCUGCUUCUGAACCUGGAGCUGACUUGGUGAGAGGUGAGUGGGUACACUCCACCACCAUUCAACAUUCCAUGUCUACCAGGCUGACUCUUCUACAAGCUUCAUUUAGCCAUGGAGGCAAACUGCAACCAGAAUCUGUUAGUACUUAGGUGUAAGAUCCCCCAGUUACUUCAUUUUCUGCAGGUGGAAGCCAGCAAUCUCAGAUAGAAAUCCCAACAUUCUCUCCUGCUUUCACUUUUCCACAUUUGAAAAUCAGACAGACAGAAGAUGGUCUUUAUAUAAUUUUGCACAUAUUUAUGUCAGGUUUUACAAGGAAUAUAGUGUUUUCUCAUCUGCCAUCUCAUUUGAUAGUUUUUCACAACUGGGAGGUACUAUUCUUAUUUUACAAAAGAAAAAUUUUGAGAUGGCAGAUAGCUAAUCCCAUCAGACACCUGGUGAGUGGCAAAGCUGGAACAAAAUCACAGGUAUUUUGGCUUCAGAUUCCUGUGUUUUUCCAGAAUACCUGAGUGCAUGUCUAUGCAGGUAUGUAUGUGUGCGUGUGUAGACACACAAAACCCACUUUUUAUAGGCAUUUUUGUUUUUUUUUUGAAACAGGGUCUCGCUCUAUUGCCCAGAGCUGGAGUGUAGUGCUGCAAUCGUAGCUCACUGCAGCCUUGACCUUCAGGGCUCAAGCAAUCCUCCCACCCCAGCCCUGGAGUAGCUGGGACCAGAAGUGCAGGCCCACCACGCAGAGUUAAAUUUUACAUAUUUUGUAGAGAUGGGGUUUCGUCAUGUUGUCCAGGCUGGUCUUGAAAUCCUGGGUUCAAGCCAUCUGCCCAACUUGGCUUCCCCAAAUGCUAGGAUUACUGCCCUAAGUAACUGGCAAGGUAUUUCUUAAGAAUAAAUUGGGUGUUCCCUUCUUCCAACUCAGCCUAUGA
rnacentral:lncRNA from 1 species